UCAGUUCCGUAAAUUGGCUAAAACCAUGGAGACGGCUGCGAUUGUCGUGGUCACCCCUGAGACACUGGCUGCUGUGCAUAUGUGUUCCAUUACCUGCCCCGUCCGUAAAGACAUGAAGUACUUUGCAGCUAAUCUUCCUUACAGAUGAAAUGAGUACUGCUCAGAGCUGGACCAAAGCAGCUGUCGAUCCUUUGCCUCUUUGCACUUUGGAGCCCAGUCCUGAUGGGACCAGGUGUCAGAGCCCUGCCAAAUCUGUGAGAAGGGUGGAAGCAAGUUUCCCUGAGGGAAAAAAAAACAACAAAAAAAAACCUUCUGGAAUUGGGAAAAAUUUAGGUCAACAUCAUUUGAACCUUGACCUCUUGCUCUUUUGUCCCCGGGUGGACAUUUCCUUGACCUCCAGAAAUUCCUCCACCUCAAGGGAAGACUUCUUGCCCCCCUCACUUCCAGAGGCCUCCAAAGUGGGCUGGGAAGAGAUUUAAAGCAGGACCCUGGGAAGCAUGAUGAGACUCUGGAGUGUAGAGAGGCUUCCCUGCAAUGCAAAGAUCUUCAAAGGCCAAGCCCAAGGCACUGCAACCCCCAGGAGGGCCCACUCCAAAGCAGAACAGUGGAGGGAGAGCCUGCGUGUCAAGAAGCCUGGACAGCAAGACCCCCUACUGUGGCAGCCAGCCUGCUUGUAGGAGUCCUGAGAAGCCUAAUUCAAUUACCCUUAUCAGAAUGUCUCUGAACUUAACAAAGCAGAUAAUGAGUUCCAGAGACAGAUACUGCUUGGGGGGCCAAAAUUAUUUUGCUUCCCCAAAUUGGAGGCUGAAAUUGGAGAUGUUUGAAUAAUGGAAAACAUAAUCCUUCCCUAGGCCCAACCCCCUCCCAGUACCCACACCUGAGACACCCUUUCAACCAAGGAGCCUGGAUUCAACAUCCAUGCCGUCUCUCCUCCUGAAGACACCUGGUCAUGAACUCGACCUCUUUCCCCCACCAUCUUUGUGCCAUCGAUGGAAGGAAGCUGCGUACAGGAUGGAAGUGGGAGGGGAAAGGGAUUAACAUUUAUGGAGCCCUCCCCUCUAUGUGUCAGCUACAUAACACAUAGCAUUCAUUUCAACCACAGAACAUAUGUCUUUACAUUACAGAAGGCAACGGAGAACUGGAAAAGUUAACUUACUGCCUGAGGACCCAUCCCCAUCUCACCAGCAGCACAGUCAGAUUCAGACACAGGUAUUCAACUUUGCAACACACUGUGCCUCACGGCCUGUGUGCUCAACAUCAGAAAUCAAAUAGAAACUCCCUCAUUCUAAGAUUCAUAGCCAUCCUCCGAGAUAUGACAUAGCGACCUCUCCUCCGUGAACAGGGAAACAGACUGAGAGGAUAACCUAACUCUCCCAAGGCCAGAGUAUCCACUGGGAUAUGCAGCCAAGUCAGCCAGCAGUUGAAACAAGGGCUCUCUGUGCUAUCUCACAUCUGAAUUGAAUUGUUUCCUACAGACUUCUCAUAGCUCUCUAGGCAAGGAAUACAUCUUCUCACCUUCCCACACUAAGAAAGGCCUCUGUCUGAGCCUGGGUGCCGGGUGGCCAGGAUUCCUGCUGAACGUUCAGGAGCUUUCCAUCUCCAGAGGUGAGCUCCUAGUUCCUGCUUACCUUAGAACUGUAGAACAUAUAAUGUUACCACUGAAAAGAACCUCUCGUAUAGUUGGAUCACACCCUUUACCUAUUUAUUUAAAUGUACUGUUUUAAUUAUGUAACAUUUGAUAUGUGCAGGAUAAUAUGUAUGCAAAUUAUAAAGCAUAAUAAUAAAACCUGUGAACCCACCACUCAA